GGGGCUAUAGCUCAGCUGGGAGAGCGCUUGCAUGGCAUGCAAGAGGUCAGCGGUUCGAUCCCGCUUAG
rnacentral:tRNA from 2 species